UACAGAGGUCCCGAGCGUUGUUCGGAUUCACUGGGCGUAAAGGGUGCGCAGGUGGGUUGGCAAGUUUGAUGUGAAAGCCCCGGGCUUAACCCGGGAAUGGCAUUGAAUACUGCUGAUCUGGAGGAUUGGAGGGGGGACUGGAAUUCUUGGUGUAGCAGUGAAAUGCGUAGAUAUCAAGAGGAACACCAGUGGCGAAGGCGAGUCCCUGGACAAUACCUGACACUGAGGCACGAAAGCGUGGGGAGCGAACAGG
rnacentral:rRNA from 1 species